UCCGGCUUAUCACCGGCAGUCCCCUUAGAGUGCCCAACUGAAUGAUGGCAACUAAGGGCGAGGGUUGCGCUCGUUGCGGGACUUAACCCAACAUCUCACGACACGAGCUGACGACAGCCAUGCAGCACCUGUCUCCGCGCCCCUUGCGGGGACCACUCAUCUCUGAGCUUAGCACGGGAUGUCAAACCCAGGUAAGGUUCUUCGCGUUGCCUCGAAUUAAACCACACGCUCCGCUGCUUGUGCGGGCCCCCGCCUAUUCCUUUGAGUUUUAACCUUGCGGCCGUAGUCCCCAGGCGGUGAACUUAAUGCGUUAGCUGCGGCACUGAUCGGGUCAAUCCGACCAACACCUAGUUCACAACGUUUAGGGCGUGGACUAC
rnacentral:misc_RNA from 1 species